ACAGAGGGUGCAAACGUUGUUCGGAAUUACUGGGCAUAAAGCGCACGUAGGUGGUCCGCUAAGUCGCGUGUGAAAUCCCCCGGCUCAACCGGGGAAAUGCGCGUGAUACUGGCGGGCUUGAGAUCGGGAGGGGUGAAUGGAACUCCAGGUGGAGCGGUGAAAUGCGUAGAUAUCUGGAGGAACACCGGUGGCGAAAGCGGUUCACUGGCCCGACACUGACACUGAGGUGCGAAAGCUAGGGUAGCAAACGGGAUUAGAUACCCCGGUAGUCCUAGCCGUAAACGAUGGGUACUGGGCAGGGGGAAUAUCUAUGUUCUCUCUGCCGGAGCUAAUGUGUUAAGUACCCCGCCUGGGGAGUACGCUCGCAAGGGUA
rnacentral:rRNA from 1 species